ACUUUGAGGUUUCGGCCAAAAACGUUUAGUGGCGGACGGGUGAGUAACGCGUGAGUACCUGCCUUGGAGUGGGGAAUAACACAGUGAAAACUGUGCUAAUACCGCAUAAUGUCGCAUGACCAAAGAUUUAUCGCUCUGAGAUGGACUCGCGUCUGAUUAGCUGGUUGGCGGGGUAACGGCCCACCAAGGCGACGAUCAGUAGCCGGACCGAGAGGUUGGCCGGCCACAUUGGGACUGAGACACGGCCCAGACUCCUACGGGAGGCAGCAGUGGGGAAUAUUGGGCAAUGGGCGCAAGCCUGACCCAGCAACGCCGCGUGAAGGAAGAAGGCUUUCGGGUUGUAAACUUCUUUUGUCAGGGACGAAGCAAGUGACGGUACCUGACGAAUAAGCCACGGCUAACUACGUGCCAGCAGCCGCGGUAAUACGUAGGUGGCAAGCGUUAUCCGGAUUUACUGGGUGUAAAGGGCGUGUAGGCGGGAAAGCAAGUCAGAUGUGAAAACUGUGGGCUCAACCCACAGCCUGCAUUUGAAACUGUUUUUCUUGAGUACUGGAGAGGCAGAUGGAAUUCCUAGUGUAGCGGUGAAAUGCGUAGAUAUUAGGAGGAACACCAGUGGCGAAGGCGAUCUGCUGGACAGCAACUGACGCUGAGGCGCGAAAGCGUGAGGAGCAAACAGGAUUAGAUACCCUGGUAGUCCACGCUGUCAACGAUGGAUACUAGGUGUGGGGGGUCUGACCCUCCGUGCCGCAGUUAACACAAUAAGUAUCCCAC
rnacentral:rRNA from 1 species